GACGAACGCUGGCGGCGUGCUUAACACAUGCAAGUCGAACGGUGAACUCCGAUUGCGGGGGGCUCAGUGGCGACCGGGGGCGUAACACGGGGGCAACCUGCCCUCAGCACUUGGAUAACUCCAAGAACGUGGGGAUAAUAACGGAAAUGACCGCUGACCGCAUGGGCUGGAGGCGGAGAGACUUAGCGGCUGGGGCUGGGCACGGGGCCUAUCAGCUUGUUGGUGGAGUAGUGGCCAACGAAGGCGACGAGGGGUCGCCGGCCUUGGAGGGGGGCCGGCCACACGGGGACUGCGGGACGGCCCAGACUCCUACGGGAGGCAGCGGGGGGGAAUAUUGCGCAAUGGGCGAGAGCCUGACGCGGCGACGCCGCGUGGGGGAUGACGGCCUUCGGGUUGUAAACCUCUUUCGGCAGGGACGAAGCGAAAGUGACGGUACCUGCAGAAGAAGCACCGGCCAACUACGUG
rnacentral:rRNA from 1 species